rnacentral:rRNA from 1 species
CCUACGGGUGGCAGCAGUGGGGAAUAUUGGACAAUGGGGGCAACCCUGAUCCAGCCAUGCCGCGUGUGUGAAGAAGGCCCUCGGGUUGUAAAGCACUUUCAGUGAGGAAGAACGCCUGGUGGUUAAUACCCAUCAGGAAAGACAUCACUCACAGAAGAAGCACCGGCUAACUCCGUGCCAGCAGCCGCGGUAAUACGGAGGGUGCGAGCGUUAAUCGGAAUUACUGGGCGUAAAGCGCGCGUAGGUGGCUUGAUAAGCCGGUUGUGAAAGCCCCGGGCCCAACCUGGGAACGGCAUCCGGAACUGUCAAGCUAGAGUGCAGGAGAGGAAGGUAGAAUUCCCGGUGUAGCGGUGAAAUGCGUAGAGAUCGGGAGGAAUACCAGUGGCGAAGGCGGCCUUCUGGACUGACACUGACACUGAGGUGCGAAAGCGUGGGUAGCAAACAGGAUUAGAUACCCCAGUAGUC